UACGUAGGGACCGAGCGUUGUCCGGAAUCAUUGGGCGUAAAGAGCGUGUAGGCGGCCUGUUUAGUCUUGCGUGAAAUCUCGGGGCUCAACCCCGAGCGGUCGUGAGAAACUGGCAGGCUAGAGUGCGGGAGAGGAGAGUGGAACUCCUGGUGUAGCGGUGAAAUGCGCAGAUAUCAGGAAGAACACCCGUGGCGAAGGCGGCUCUCUGGAACGCAACUGACGCUGAGACGCGAAAGCGUGGGGAGCAAACAGG
rnacentral:rRNA from 1 species